CCUACGGGAGGCUGCAGUGAGGAAUUUUCGUCAAUGGGCGCAAGCCUGAACAAGCGAUGCCGCGUGAGUGAAGAAGGCCUUCGGGUCGUAAAGCUCUGUUGCGGGGGAAAAAAGGCAGCAUCAGGAAAUGGGUGCUGACUGAUGGUGCCCCGCCAGAAAGUCACGGCUAACUACGUGCCAGCAGCCGCGGUAAUACGUAGGUGGCGAGCGUUAUCCGGAAGGAUUGGGCGUAAAGGGUGCGCAGGCGGUCCUGCAAGUCUGGAGUGAAACGCAUGAGCUCAACUCAUGCAUGGCUUUGGAAACUGGAGGACUGGAGAGCAGGAGAGGGCGGUGGAACUCCAUGUGUAGCGGUAAAAUGCGUAGAUAUAUGGAAGAACACCAGUGGCGAAGGCGGCCGCCUGGCCUGUUGCUGACGCUGAGGCACGAAAGCGUGGGGAGCAAAUAGGAUUAGAUACCCCAGUAGUC
rnacentral:rRNA from 1 species